rnacentral:lncRNA from 1 species
CUGAACAUGGGUGUGAAUACAAAGUCACGUGAACCUACACGUGACAUUAAGGUGUGGCUAAUUGGCAGUUUGGCACGUGCAUAACCAUCUGUCAAAAUUGUAAAUAGCUGUCUGUUUAGUGUUUACUCCAGUGUGCAAAACUGCAAAUUCAAAAGCGAAAAGGCGGAUGGAACAGGAUUUUUUGACGUCUUUGAAAGGUGCCGGUAUCACUACUGUCACUAGUGAUAUCUUAAAAGAAGGACAUAUAUUGAACUUUGAUGUCUUCGCCUCCCUUGAAGAGGAGCACUUUACUGUUCUUCGUAGCAAAAUCAAAAUUGGUCAGCACGCUCUAUUAUUACGUUUGUGGCAUCAAAGAAAUAGAAUGGAGAGAAGUUCUGAGAAUCCUCUUUCUCCAACACCAUCUACCGCUUCUUCAUCUCUGAUGGCCGUAAAGUCCCCAUCUCCUGCUGUUCGUGAUGAAUCUAUUCGAGACAAUAUUAAAGAACUUGCUGAUUUAUAUAAGAAAAGAGGCUCAGGGAUG